rnacentral:rRNA from 1 species
GGGGGGGGGGGGGGGGGGGGCGGGGGGGGGGGGGGGGGGGGGGGGGGGGGGGGGGGGGUGGGGUGAGGGGUGGGGGGGGGGGGAGGGGGGGGGAGUAGAGCGGAGUGUACUUUGUCGGGGGGGGGAAGGGAGGGAGACGUACGAGAAUACCGGAUACGAGCUACGGGUGAGAGGAGGUGAGAUUCGGAGCUUGCGCGCUGUACUGAGCCGAUGUCGGAUUAGCUAGUUGGAGGGGUAAAUGCCCACCAAUGAGACGAUCCGUAGCUGGUCUGAGAGGAUGAUCAGCCACACUGUAACUUAGACACGGUCCAGACUCCUACGGGAGGCAGCAGUGGGGAAUAUUGGACAAUGGUCGCAAGCCUGCUCCAGCCAUACCGCGUGGGUGAAGAAGGCCUUCGGGUUGUAAAGCCCUUUUGUUGCGAAAGAAAAGCAGCAGGUUAAUACCCCGCUGUUCUGACGGUACCCAAAGAAUAAGCACCGGCUAACUUCGUG